AGGAACCUGCCUCAAAGAGGGGGACAACAGUUGGAAACGACUGCUAAUACCGCAUAAGCCCACGGCUCGGCAUCGAGCAGAGGGAAAAGGAGCAAUCCGCUUUGAGAUGGCCUCGCGUCCGAUUAGCUAGUUGGUGAGGUAACGGCCCACCAAGGCGACGAUCGGUAGCCGGACUGAGAGGUUGAACGGCCACAUUGGGACUGAGACACGGCCCAGACUCCUACGGGAGGCAGCAGUGGGGAAUAUUGCACAAUGGGGGAAACCCUGAUGCAGCGACGCCGCGUGGAGGAAGAAGGUCUUCGGAUUGUAAACUCCUGUUGUUGAGGAAGAUAAUGACGGUACUCAACAAGGAAGUGACGGCUAACUACGUGCCAGCAGCCGCGGUAAAACGUAGGUCACAAGCGUUGUCCGGAAUUACUGGGUGUAAAGGGAGCGCAGGCGGGAGAACAAGUUGGAAGUGAAAUCCAUGGGCUCAACCCAUGAACUGCUUUCAAAACUGUUUUUCUUGAGUAGUGCAGAGGUAGGCGGAAUUCCCGGUGUAGCGGUGGAAUGCGUAGAUAUCGGGAGGAACACCAGUGGCGAAGGCGGCCUACUGGGCACCAGCUGACGCUGAGGCUCGAAAGUGUGGGUAGCAAACAGGAUUAGAUACCCUGGUAGUCCACACCGUAAACGAUGAUUACUAGGUGU
rnacentral:rRNA from 1 species